CAGUCGCCGCGGUAAAACGGAGGGUGCAAGCGUUAUCCGGAUUUAUUGGGUUUAAAGGGUCCGUAGGCGGAUCUGUAAGUCAGUGGUGAAAUCUCACAGCUUAACUGUGAAACUGCCAUUGAUACUGCAGGUCUUGAGUAAAUUUGAAGUGGCUGGAAUAAGUAGUGUAGCGGUGAAAUGCAUAGAUAUUACUUAGAACACCAAUUGCGAAGGCAGGUCACUAAGAUUUAACUGACGCUGAUGGACGAAAGCGUGGGGAGCGAACAGGAUUAGAUACCCCAGUAGUCCCUGUCUCUUAUAU
rnacentral:rRNA from 1 species